CCUACGGGGUGCAGCAGUGAGGAAUAUUGGUCAAUGGGCGAGAGCCUGAACCAGCCAAGUCGCGUGAGGGAGUACUGCCCUAUGGGUUGUAAACCUCUUUUGUCGGGGAGCAAAAGCCGGACGUGUCCGGCUGUGAGAGUACCCGCAGAAAAAGCAUCGGCUAACUCCGUGCCAGCAGCCGCGGUAAUACGGAGGAUGCGAGCGUUAUCCGGAUUUAUUGGGUGUAAAGGGUGCGAAGGCGGAUUUUUAAGUCAGCGGUAAAAUCGUGGGGCUCAACCCAAUCCAGCCGUUGAAACUGGGGAUCUAGAGUGGGCGAGAGGUAUGCGGAAUGCGUGGUGUAGCGGUGAAAUGCAUAGAUAUCACGCAGAACCCCGAUUGCGAAGGCAGCAUACCGGUGCACAACUGACGCUCAGGCACGAAAGCGUGGGUAUCGAACAGGAUUAGAUACCCCUGUAGUC
rnacentral:rRNA from 1 species